rnacentral:lncRNA from 1 species
UGCUUAUGAGGGUUGUUCUUUCUACAGCUCUACUUACUCCAAGAAUAGUAAUGUGGGCCGUGGGAAGCAAUGCGCUGGCGUGAGCUGUAUGCCAUGGACGGCUGAGGCACAGGGAGGAGAAGAUGUGAACCAAAAGGCUCUGCCCUGAAUAAAGUCAGGCGCAUCCUUUGAUCCUCUGUGUCCGACUGGUUUCUCUUCUGAGUCUUAGCAAACAACCUGAAAGUGCUUCUGGAGACAACGUCUCUGCCUGCCAAGAUGUCAUCACCUUGCUCUGUGCUCUAGGACUGCCACGGUUCUCUCCAGCCCCUUUAGGCAUUCCUGCUUGAAGAUUAACCCUACAGUCUCAUGCUGGACAACUUAAUUCAGCUGAGGAGAAACAGCAGUACAUGACAGAUAAGAAAAGCCUGUUUUCCUCUUACGCUUCGGAUUUUGGAUCAAUGCUAGAGGCUGCAAAACUAACCCAAGGAAGGAAAA